CAGCUCUGAGUAUCGCUCUGGAACCAGUGAGGCUGGCUGAAGUCAGAGGUCAGGGAAUCGAAGGCACAAGGUUAGAGACAUUGCAGAACCGAGAUGGAAAACAGUGAGCAGCCUAGACUGAUGGAAAUGUGCACGUCAAACAGUGUAGAGGAGAGCAAAGUCAGCCUUCUUCUCCUUGCUGGGGACAUCAGCCUCAUCUUGCCAGGAGACCCUGAAAAUACCUCACC